AGUUAAUGAACUUGUAUAAGUAUAUAUUUUGAAAGUAUAAAAAAAGAUUAAUUAUCUUAUUAACUUC
rnacentral:tRNA from 1 species